GGAUGUGAGGGCGAUCUGGCUGCGACAUCUGCCACCCCAUUGAUCGCCAGGGUUGAUUCGGCUGAUCUGGCUGGCUAGGCGGGUGUCCCCUUCCUCCCUCACCGCUCCAUGUGCGUCCCUCCCGAAGCUGCGCGCUCGGUCGAAGAGGACGACCUUCCCCGAUAGAGGCGUACCGUUCAUCGGUCCAAGGGUAUACGGUAGCUGCGCUCCCCUGCUAGGCACCACUCACAAACUCACCUUUUAAAAUGACCCACGGCCUCAAUUUUCAUGACACUGGGUGCAAUCGAAUUUCCAAUUC
rnacentral:snRNA from 1 species